rnacentral:tRNA from 1 species
CCUGGUGGCUCAGUGGUAAAGAAUCUGCCUGCAAUGCAGGAGACUUGGGUUCAAUCCCCGGGUCAGGA